rnacentral:rRNA from 1 species
AAUCAACGCUGGCGGCGUGCCUCAGACAUGCAAGUCGAACGCGAAAGUCCCCUUCGGGGGACAAGUAGAGUGGCGCACGGGUGAGUAACACGUAGGUAAUCUACCUUCGGAUGGGGAAUAACAACCGGAAACGGUUGCUAAUACCGCAUAAUGCAGCGGCACCUAAUGGUGACAGUUGUUAAAGCGGGGGAUCGAAAGACCUCGCGUCUGAAGAGGAGCCUGCGGCGGAUUAGCUAGUGGUAAGGUAAUGGCUUACCAAGGCGACGAUCCGUAGCCGGCCUGAGAGGGCGGUCGGCCACACUGACACUGACAUACGGGUCAGACUCCUACGGGAGGCAGCAGUCGGGAAUUUUGGGCAAUGGGCGAAAGCCUGACCCAGCAACGCCGCGUGAAGGAUGAAAUCCCUCGGGA